rnacentral:rRNA from 1 species
CCUACGGGGGGCUGCAGUGGGGAAUAUUGGACAAUGGGCGAAAGCCUGAUCCAGCCAUGCCGCGUGUGUGAAGAAGGCCUUCGGGUUGUAAAGCACUUUCAGUGGGGAAGAAAGCCUUGGGGCUAAUACCCUCGAGGAAGGACAUCACCCACAGAAGAAGCACCGGCUAACUCCGUGCCAGCAGCCGCGGUAAUACGGAGGGUGCGAGCGUUAAUCGGAAUUACUGGGCGUAAAGCGCGCGUAGGCGGUCUGAUAAGCCGGUUGUGAAAGCCCCGGGCUCAACCUGGGAACGGCAGCCGGAACUGUCAGGCUAGAGUGCAGGAGAGGAAGGUAGAAUUCCCGGUGUAGCGGUGAAAUGCGUAGAGAUCGGGAGGAAUACCAGUGGCGAAGGCGGCCUUCUGGACUGACACUGACGCUGAGGUGCGAAAGCGUGGGUAGCAAACAGGAUUAGAUACCCCAGUAGUC